GUUUCCAGUCAUUAUGUAUUCAGUUCUGAAAACAUCAACUUCUCUCAACAUUUCUCCUGAGCACGCGGAGCCAGGAAAAUGUGAAGCUACUUGAAUCCCCUCUCCAUGGCCAGGAAUGGAUCAUCGUAAGGUGCUGGCCACUGAAGUGUACUCCGGUUUCUCUCUUCUCUCUCCUGGUACCACUUGCUCUUGGAACUUUCCCACCAUAUUGUGAGGAAGCCCAUGCCACAUGGAGAGGCCAUGUGAAGAUGUUCCGUCCAAAUGCCCCAGCCAAGUCCCCAAGCACCAGCCAGAAUCAGCUCCCAAUAUGUGAGAGAACGAACGAGCCUCCAGAUGAUUCCAGCCUCCUACCUUUGAGCUGCCCCAGUGACACUGAGUGAGUGGAGCAGAGAUGGGCUGUCCCCACUGGGCCCUAUCCAAGCUGGAGAAUC